ensembl:lncRNA
UGCAAUCUGAUUUUAGUGUGAAUUUCAUAGACUUCCAGUGGACGCGCUGUCUUCACGAGGGAAACACUGCAGGAACCAGCCUAAAACACGCUCAGGAGUAUGAGCUGGCUGGCUGAAAUCCCCUGUUGGCUCAGUUUGUGACAGCACAGGGAUCAACCUUCCUACUCACAGGCUUCCAUGGCCAUGGAAAAAUCUUUUUUGAAGCUCCUCUUUGAGUUCCCUGUGGCAAGAAACAGCUGUUUCUGUUCUAAACUCGGCUCCUCAUGCUCUCAGGCCAAUCAUGUCAAUCUGGUGGAGUAAAGGUCUAAAGGAAGUCAGACCAAUGUAACUGUGUGGACACCCGCUUUGUUAAAAGGAUGGGAAAACCUUCUCCUUGGAACCUUAGACGAAAAAUUGAUGGUUGAAAGAUUUCAUAUGAAACAUACAACAAAAACCUCAAGGUGCUACAAAUUUCUUCUUCUUGUUGAGGCUGACAUUGGGAUCAGGAUUUACCCAGUCCCCUGGCAACUGUUACCAGCAAGAGUCCUUCACAGAUAAGGAUUCAAGGAGGAAAGCCUCUCAGAAAGAUGGAAGUUGUAUAUUGCAGAAUAGAUUUCUUUCUUGAAGAGCACGGCAAGGCAAAGCAACCUGUUACUGAAGC